UAUUUGUUCUUUAACAAUGUGGUAAAAAGUAUAAGUAAAGAUUCCUUGAUUAAUUUAGGGUUAUUUUUAGUUUAGGUUGAGAUGUAUUUUUAUGUCUUGAUUGAUUAUUAGAAAUAAUUUUUAGUUUAUUUAAUUAACGAGUCUUGGUAAUUUUUGAAAACCGGUGUUGAGAUAUAGUUUUGAUUGGUAUUAGUUAAUAGAUUUUAGAUUUAUUGAUAUAAGACUUUUUGGGGUUA
rnacentral:misc_RNA from 1 species